GGUGGGGUUCCCGAGCGGCCAAAGGGAGCAGACUGUAAAUCUGCCGUCAUCGACUUCGAAGGUUCGAAUCCUUCCCCCAC
rnacentral:tRNA from 3 species